GCAUAACGCGAAGAACCUUACCUAGACUUGACAUCUCCUGAAUUACUCGUAACUGAGGAAGCCCUUCGGGGCAGGAAGACAGGUGGUGCAUGGUUGUCGUCAGCUCGUGUCGUGAGAUGUUGGGUUAAGUCCCGCAACGAGCGCAACCCUUGUCGUUAGUUGCUACCAUUAAGUUGAGCACUCUAGCGAGACUGCCGCGGUUAACGCGGAGGAAGGUGGGGAUGACGUCAAAUCAUCAUGCCCCUUAUGUCUAGGGCUACACACGUGCUACAAUGGUGAGUACAACAAGAACCGAAACCGCGAGGUGGAGGAAAACUGAAAACUCAUCCCAGUUCGGAUUGUAGGCUGCAACUCGCCUACAUGAAGCCGGAGUUGCUAGUAAUCGCAAAUCAGAAUGUUGCGGUGAAUACGUUCCCGGGUCUUGUACACACCG
rnacentral:rRNA from 1 species